rnacentral:rRNA from 1 species
CAGCAGCCGCGGUAAUACGAAGGGUGCAAGCGUUACUCGGAAUUACUGGGCGUAAAGCGUGUGUAGGUGGUGGUUUAAGUCCGUUGUGAAAGCCCUGGGCUCAACCUGGGAAUUGCAGUGGAUACUGGAUCACUAGAGUGUGGUAGAGGAUAGUGGAAUUUCCGGUGUAGCAGUGAAAUGCGUAGAGAUCGGAAGGAACAUCUGUGGCGAAGGCGACUAUCUGGGCCAACACUGACACUGAGGCACGAAAGCGUGGGGAGCAAACAGGAUUAGAUACCCGGGUAGUCCCUGUCUCUUAUAC